rnacentral:tRNA from 1 species
CAAGGAUUUAAGUUAUUAAACUAUUAACCUUCAAAGUUGAAAAUAAAGGUAAUCUCUUUAAGCCUU